rnacentral:lncRNA from 1 species
GACACACACAGGUACAAUCUUUGCAGGGCCAUGUGUUCUCAUAUUUAAAUUUUUUAAAAUUUUUUAAUUUAAAUUUUUAAAAAUAAAUUUUGAAAUAAUUUUAGAUUUAUGGAAAAGUUCUAAAAGUGUUACAGAAAAUGUCAUAUAUCUUUCACCCAGUUUCCCCUAAUGUUAAUGUCUCUAACAUAUAUCCAUCAAAACUCACCAGUUAACACUAGGACUUUCAUUCUGAACUCCAGAAUUUACGUGAAUUUCACCUGUUUUUCCACUAUUGUCCUUUUUCCGCUGUAGGACCCCAUCGAGAUUUCCACAUUGCAUUUAGUUGUCACGUCCCCUUCAUCAAGUGUGUGAUGAGGCAAUCCCUCAGAUGUUCCUUGUUUUUCAUGGCCUUGGUGGAUUUGAGGAGUAUUAGUCAGAUAUUUUGUAGACUGCUCCUCGAUUUUGGCUUUUCCUCAUGGUUAGUCUAGGGUGACCACUUGUUAGGAGGAAGACCACAGAGGUGCAGUGCCGUUUUAUCAUGUCGUAUCAGGGGUACUUGCUUUCAACACGACAGCACUGGUGCUGCACCUAGAGAGGCCUUUCCGGGCUACCCUAACCCAAGGAGGUGUUUCCAGCUUUUCUCACUUUAGCCUUUAGUCUUUUCUGCAGAGCACUUAUUGUAAUUGGGGGUUGUUGUUGGCGAUUUCUCUGUUUCUCUAACUAGACCUUAAGCUCUACGAGGGCAGAACUGUCUUUAUCUGCUCAUCUCUAGCACCAUGCCUGGCACAUGGCUGGCACUCAAAAUGUUUAUUUAAUAAAAAGUACAUUAUUGUUUUCCUAUGUAGAUGCACAAACAUUCUUAUUAUAAAGAUAGAUAAUACUUAUUUCUCCAUUUAUUAUCUAGUGGGAUUCUGAGAACUGUGUUCUCAUGUCCCCUUUCCUUUGCUUCAAUCUGUUUCUCCACAGCCCUGAAAUAACUGAAUGGCAAGAACAAAAUCCAAGCAAACAAAAACAAACAAACAAAAUCCUAGAAUUUGUUUGACUCUUAAUUCCCUCAAUUCCCUCAGCUGGCUUUUCCUUUUAUCUGCUUUGCAGCUGAAGACCCUAGAAUGGCCGAAGGGAGAAAUGGUCUUUCUGCAAUUCCAGGGCCAGAACCUCGCGUGGGCAAGUGCCUUCCGCUUCAGUGUGGCCACGGCCUGUGGUGAUGGAGUCGUAGUUCACCGACAAACACAUGGAGUCACAGAUGAAGAAAUCCAGGGCCAGCACUGA